UCUGUUUGACUGCAUGUGCUCAUCCUUAACAAUCUCUUAUCCAAACACACCUGUGCACCUUAUGUGAAGGGGGGGGCCUCCAAGCCGAUUGCUGUCUUUUCGAUAGUUCUCUUGGAGAUUCCCCUUUGCCCCUUUUAUCAUACACUUGUCGCAAUAUUUGAACGUGCUCGUGCCGGGUAAGGCAAUUUGUAAAAAUAUACAACUUUUAACAACGGAUCUCUUGGCUCUCGCAUCGAUGAAGAACGCAGCGAAAUGCGAUAAGUAAUGUGAAUUGCAGAAUUCAGUGAAUCAUCGAAUCUUUGAACGCACCUUGCGCUUCCUGGUAUUCCGGGGAGCAUGCCUGUUCGAGUGUCGUAAAAUUCUCAAGCUGGAUGGUUUUUCCGUCCUAGCAUUGGUUUAUUGGGCUCUGCUGGUGUCCUCCAUUAGGAGGACCGGCUGGCCUUAAAAGCAUUAGCUUGACCCUCUGAUGUGGAAUUGGUUCCUACUCAGCGUGAUAAUAAUCUGAUCGCUGAGGACAUCUUUCGGGAUGGCCAGACUCUCAUCUGGGUUGCUUCAAAUCUGGCAAAUGCG
rnacentral:rRNA from 1 species